rnacentral:rRNA from 1 species
AGCAGCCGCGGUAAUUCCAGCUCCAAUAGCGUAUAUUAAAGUUGUUGCAGUUAAAAAGCUCGUAGUUGAAUUUCGGGAUCAGUACGUCGGUCGUGCUUCGGUACGUACUGGCGUAAUUGAUUUCUCCCUUCUGACGAACCAUGAUGUCAUUAACUUGGUGUCAUGGGAAAUCAGGACUGUUACUUUGAAAAAAUUAGAGUGUUUAAAGCAGGCUCACGCUUGAAUACAUUAGCAUGGAAUAAUGAAAUAGGACGUUCGAUCCUAUUUUGUUGGUUUUUAGGAUCAACGUAAUGAUUAAUAGGGAUAGUUGGGGGCAUUAGUAUUCAAUUGUCAGAGGUGAAAUUCUUGGAUUUAUUGAAGACUAACUACUGCGAAAGCAUUUGCCAAGGAUGUUUUCAUUAAUCAAGAACGAAAGUUAGGGGAUCGAAGACGAUCAGAUACCGUCGUAGUCUUAACCAUAAACUAUGCCGACUAGGGAUCGGAUGAUGUUAAUUUUUAAUGACUCAUUCGGCGCCUUACG